rnacentral:rRNA from 1 species
AUUGAACGCUGGCGGCAUGCUUUACACAUGCAAGUCGAACGGUAACAGGCCGCAAGGUGCUGACGAGUGGCGCACGGGUGAGUAAUGCAUCGGAACGUGCCCAGUCGUGGGGGAUAACUACUCGAAAGAGUAGCUAAUACCGCAUACGAUCUAUGGAUGAAAGCGGGGGACCGUAAGGCCUCGCGCGAUUGGAGCGGCCGAUGUCAGAUUAGGUAGUUGGUGGGGUAAAGGCUCACCAAGCCAACGAUCUGUAGCUGGUCUGAGAGGACGACCAGCCACGCUGGGACUGAGACACGGCCCAGACUCCUACGGGAGGCGGCAGUGGGGAAUUUUGGACAAUGGGCGCAAGCCUGAUCCAGCAAUGCCGCGUGCAGGAAGAAGGCCUUCGGGUUGUAAACUGCUUUUGUACGGAACGAAACGGCUCUGGUUAAUACCCGGGGCUAAUGACGGUACCGUAAGAAUAAGCACCGGCUAACUACGUG